rnacentral:rRNA from 1 species
AUGCACGCUGGCGGCGUGCCUAACACAUGCAAGUCGAACGGAGUCCAGCCUUAGAGACCUUCGGGUCAAAGAGGGGAAGACUGAGUGGCGGACGGGUGAGUAACACGUGGGCAACCUGGCUCAUAGAGGGGGAUAACAGAGAGAAAUUUCUGCUAAUACCGCAUAAGCACACACUGCCGCAUGGCAGAGUGUGAAAAGAGAAUCGCUAUGAGAUGGACCCGCGUCUGAUUAGCCAGUUGGCAGGGUAAGAGCCUACCAAAGCGACGAUCAGUAGCUGAUUUGAGAGGAUGAACGGCCACAUUGGGACUGAGACACGGCCCAAACUCCUACGGGAGGCAGCAGUGGGGGAUAUUGCACAAUGGGGGGAACCCUGAUGCAGCGACGCCGCGUGAGUGAAGAAGUAUUUCGGUAUGUAAAGCUCUAUCAGCAGGGAAGAUAAUGACAGUACCUGAAGAAGAAGCCCCGGCUAACUACGUG